rnacentral:rRNA from 1 species
CCUACGGGGGGCAGCAGUGAGGAAUAUUGGUCAAUGGGCGCUAGCCUGAACCAGCCAAGUAGCGUGAAGGAUGACUGCCCUAUGGGUUGUAAACUUCUUUUAUAUGGGAAUAAAGUGCAGUAUGUAUACUGCUUUGCAUGUACCUUAUGAAUAAGGAUCGGCUAACUCCGUGCCAGCAGCCGCGGUAAUACGGAGGAUCCGAGCGUUAUCCGGAUUUAUUGGGUUUAAAGGGAGCGUAGGCGGGUUGUUAAGUCAGUUGUGAAAGUUUGCGGCUCAACCGUAAAAUUGCAGUUGAUACUGGCAUC